UCCUAAAUUGAGCUGGGCCUUGGC
rnacentral:piRNA from 1 species